rnacentral:rRNA from 1 species
UACGAAGGGGGCUAGCGUUGCUCGGAAUUACUGGGCGUAAAGCGCGCGCAGGCGGUUCUUCAAGUCAGAGGUGAAAGCCCAGAGCUCAACUCUGGAACGGCCUUUGAGACUAGAGAACUUGGGUACGGGAGAGGUGAGUGGAAUUCCGAGUGUAGAGGUGAAAUUCGUAGAUAUUCGGAAGAACACCAGUGGCGAAGGCGGCUCACUGGCCCGUUACCGACGCUCAGGCGCGACAGCGUGGGGAGCAAACAGG